CGUAGGUGGCAAGCGUUGUCCGGAAUUACUGGGUGUAAAGGGCGUGUAGGCGGGAAUGUAAGUCAGAUGUGAAAUCCCAGGGCUUAACUCUGGAGCUGCAUCUGAACUAUGUUUCUUGAGUGUCGGAGAGGAAAGCGGAAUUCCUAGUGUAGCGGUGAAAUGCGUAGAUAUUAGGAGGAACACCAGUGGCGAAGGCGGCUUUCUGGACGAUAACUGACGCUGAGGCGCGAAAGCGUGGGGAGCAAACAGGAUUAGAUACCCUGGUAGUCCACGCUGUAAACGAUGGAUACUAGGUGUAGGGGGUAUCGACCCCCCCUGUGCCGCAGUUAACACAAUAAGUAUCCCACCUCGGGGAGUACGGCCGCAAGGUUG
rnacentral:rRNA from 1 species